GAGAUGAUAAUCAAUGCACGGUCACUGUGAGUGGAACAGGAGAUGAGUACAGUAGCAUUAUCUCUCUCUCUCUGUAUCUAUCUGUGUGUGUGUGUGUGUGUGUG